GGAUACUGCUAUUCGGAUCCGAUUAAGCCAUGCGAGCCGAGAGGUGUAAGACCUCGGCGAAUUGCUCAGUAAUGUGUGGUUAACUUACCCUUAGGUCGGGGAUAAACUCGGGAAACUGAGCUCAAUACCCGAUAGGAAUUUUGCUCUGGAAUGACUAAAUUCUCAAAGUUCCGGCGCCUAAGGAUGGGACCGCAACUCAUCAGCCUGUUGGGGGUGUAACGAACCCUCAAAGCUAUAACGGGUACGGGCCAUGAGAGUGGGAACCCGGAGAUGGAUUCUGAGACAUGAAUCCAGGUCCUACGGGACGCAGCAGGCGCGAAACCUUCGCAAUGUGUUAGCGCACGACGAGGGGAUCCGAAGUGUUGCAGUUUUACUGCAACUUUUAUUGAGUUCAAACAGCUCGAUGAAUAAGGGGUGGGUAAGACGGGUGCCAGCCGCCGCGGUAAUACCUGCGCCCCAAGUGGUAUCCAGUUUUAUUGGGCCUAAAGCGUCCGUAGCCGGCCCUGCAAGUCCUCGGUGAAAUUUACUAGUAGACUAGUGAGCCUGCCGGGGAUACUGCAGGGCUGGGGACCGGGAGAGGGUAGAGGUACUCCUAGGGGAGGGGUAAAAUCCUAUAAUCCUAGGGGGACCACCUGUGGCGAAGGCGUCUACCUAGAACGGUUCCGACGGUGAGGGACGAAAGCCAGGGGAGCGAUCGGGAUUAGAUACCCCGGUAGUCCUGGCUGUAAACGAUGCCCGCUUGGUGUUGCAAACCUUUAGUGGGUUUGCAGUGCCGGAAUGUAGAUGUUAAGCGGGCCGCCUGGGGGGUACGACCGCAAGGUUGAAACUUAAGGGAAUUGGCGGGGGAGCACACAAGGGGUGGAGGCUGCGGUUC
rnacentral:rRNA from 1 species